rnacentral:rRNA from 1 species
GACGAACGCUGGCGGCGUGCUUAACACAUGCAAGUCGAACGAAGUGGCGAACGGGUGAGUAACGCGUAAUCAACCUGCCCUUCAGAGGGGGACAACAGUUGGAAACGACUGCUAAUCCCGCAUACUGAAGGUGGGGAUUGCGUCUGAUUAGCUAGUUGGAGGGGUAACGGCCCACCAAGGCGAUGAUCAGUAGCCGGUGUUGGAGGAUGAACGGCCACAUUGGGACUGGGGAACGGCCCAGACUCCUACGGGGGGGAGCAGGGGGGAAACUUCCGCAAUGGAGGAAAGUCUGACGGAGCAAAGCCGCGUGAGUGAUGACGGCCUUCGGGUUGGAAAGCUCUGUUAAUCGGGACGCGGUACCGGAAUAGAAAGCCACGGCUAACUACGUGCCAGCAGCCGCGGUAAUUC